GAUGAACGCUGGCGGCGUGCCUAAUACAUGCAAGUCGAGCGCACGGACGAUAAGGUUGCUUGCUUGAUGUUAGCGGGUGACGGGCGAGUGAGUGAUUAAUGAGUAACUAAUAUGCCUGGGAUAAGUUCGUAAAUAUGGAGAUAGUAACGCAUAAUAUUAUAAACUUGAUGAUUCCAAGGUGAUUGAUGGUCUGGUUGAAUCUCAUAACUGCCUCCAGGCUGUAUUAUCUAGUUGGUAAGGUAACGGCUAACCAAGGCACCGAUGCAUAGCCGACCUGAGAGGGUGAUCGGCCACACUGGAACUGAGACACGGUCCAGACUCCUACGGGAGGCAGCAGUGGGGAAUCUUGGGCAAUGGGCGAAAGCCUGACGGAGCAACGCCGCGUGGGUGAGGAAGGUCUUCGGAUCGUAAAGCUCUGUUAUUGGGAAAGAACAGAUGUAUAAGGAAAUGUGCACAUCUUGACGGUACCUAAUCAGAAAGCCACGGCUAACUACGUG
rnacentral:rRNA from 1 species